AGAGUUUGAUCAUGGCUCAGGAUGAACGCUAGCUACAGGCUUAACACAUGCAAGUCGAGGGGCAGCAUGUUGGUUGCUUGCAACCAAUGAUGGCGACCGGCGCACGGGUGAGUAACGCGUAUCCAACCUACCCUUGUCCAUCGGAUAACCCGUCGAAAGGCGGCCUAACACGAUAUGCGGUUCUCAGCAGGCGUCUAACGAGAACGAAAUGUGAAGGAGAAGGAUGGGGAUGCGUCUGAUUAGCUUGUUGGGCGGGUAACGGCCACCAAGGCGACGAUCAGUAGGGGUUCUGAGAGGAAGGUCCCCCACAUUGGAACUGAGACACGGUCCAAACUCCGUACGGGAGGCA
rnacentral:rRNA from 1 species